AGUGUUACAAGUUCCACAAGUUCCAGCUCUGCACAACCUUGAAAACGUUGCAAGAGACACUUGUUACAAUCCCCAGGCUGCACCUUCUUUAAUUAAUCAAAUAGACCCUACAGAUCAGAAGAGUGAGGAAACUCUACAGUUGGAGGAACUGCUUUCCAGGGGCGGGGCUGGAAGAGGCUGAAUGCUUCAGAUAAUUCAAGAGACAGAGUCCCUGGGCUUCAGGUUAAGUCUUCAUGGACAAGCUCAUUUUCACCUGCAUUCACCAGGGAACAGAAACAGUAUCAAGCAAGAAGAAAAGCAGAAGUCCUCAGCAAAGGUGAAGAGUCUUGACAGUAUUAACUGAGAAAUGGAAAACUGAAUAAGAAACACUAUAUAUACUAUAGCAAUGAUGAUUUAGUCAGACAAACAUCAGAGGAUAAUUCAAGACCCUUGAACAUCAUCUCAGAGGUGUUAUUGAGCUGUUAGAUGCAAGGUCAGUCUUCCAUAGAAAAGAAGAAACAAAGGAGUUAACUUGAGAGCAAAAUUCUUGUGAGCAAAGAGACCUUUCCUUUUUGAAAGGAAAAUUCCAUGCUUUCCCUUCUGGUUGGCCUGCCGUAGUGGAUAUGCUUUUGGAGUACAGCAUGUACAGUGCAUAAGCAACUAUUGCCAUUCAUGGUUGUCUUCCAAAUCAGCAGUGCUUAAAAAUAUGAAGUGCAAACUUGGCUCUCUUUUCUAUCUUGGGUUUUGUUCUUGCUGUUUUUUGUUGUUGUUGCUCUGAAAGAGUAUUUGCUCACUUUUUUUAAAAACAAAAGAUCUAAUUUUAACUAAGUGGAUAUAUCUCUCCUUUGUUCAAUCAAAAUGCUCUUCCUUUCCUUCUGAUGUCAGCAUCAGACAGUAGGCAGUUUCCUGUAAAGAAACAGCACUGUAGCUGACUGUGUCUUCUCCUGAACAUAUUAAAUAUCAUCUCAGACCACCCUUGGAGAAAUACCAGAAGAAACAACUCCACUAGCACAAAUAGAGUAACUAUUCCGCUCAGGCUCUGUGUGAAACCUGCUCUAGAAAAUGUAAUUAAACUGAGUGACAAGCUAGGAUCAGCCUGAGAACUUCACAUUUAUCAUGAGCAAUCAUCAAUCCUAAUUAGCAAAAUAUUUCAUUUUCCACACUUUCUUCCCAAAACAGAAUAGCUUGUUGGAAUUAAAAGACACGGCUGUGGAUAUUGUUUAUAUUAUUUCAGUGUCUUCAUGUGCUGGUGGCAGAAUAAGAUACUCAAGAGGGAUAGCAGUAAAAACUUUCAGCGUGGAUGAAGAUGAUCAUUACUCAGAGCCAAGCAGCAGGUCAGGAUGCCCUUGGACAUGGAUAACAUU
rnacentral:lncRNA from 1 species